UACGAAGGGGGCUAGCGUUGCUCGGAAUCACUGGGCGUAAAGCGCACGUAGGCGGAUUGUUAAGUCAGGGGUGAAAUCCUGGAGCUCAACUCCAGAACUGCCUUUAAUACUGCCAGUCUCGAGUCCGGAAGAGGUAAGUGGAACUCCGAGUGUAGAGGUGAAAUUCGUAGAUAUUCGGAAGAACACCAGUGGCGAGGCGGCUCACUGGUCCGGUACUGACGCUGAGGUGCGAAAGCGUGGGGAGCAAACAGG
rnacentral:rRNA from 1 species